AACGAACGCUGGCGGCAGGCCUAACACAUGCAAGUCGAACGCCCUAGCAAUAGGGAGUGGCAGACGGGUGAGUAACACGUGGGAACCUUCCCUGUAGUAUGGAAUAGCCCAGGGAAACUUGGAGUAAUACCGUAUACGCCCGAGAGGGGAAAGAUUUAUCGCUACAGGAUGGGCCCGCGUCGGAUUAGCGAGUUGGUGAGGUAAUGGCUCACCAAGGCGACGAUCCGUAGCUGGUUUGAGAGAACGACCAGCCACACUGGGACUGAGACACGGCCCAGACUCCUACGGGAGGCAGCAGUGGGAAUAUUGGACAAUGGGCGCAAGCCUGAUCCAGCCAUGCCGCGUGAGUGAUGAAGGCCUUAGGGUUGUAAAGCUCUUUUGUCGGGGACGAUAAUGACGGCACCCGAAGAAUAAGUCCCGGCUAACUUCGUGCCAGCCGCCGCGGUAACAC
rnacentral:rRNA from 1 species